GGGGCCUCCUGUGCCUACUAGUAGGCUCAGAAGGCCGUGAUCAUCCAUCCAAAUGGUUGAUCACCCACAAAUAUACAAGAGAAAACUCCAGAUCCAAUCCCAGAAUUCCUGCUCACCGGUAAUCGGAAGUCUACUGGACGAAUGCGGGAACGUUGCGAUUUCCUGCUUAAUAUUUUCAGAUAUGGGAAAAGCACUUAAGAUGAGCACACGUUUCAGGAACGUUAAAAUUAAGUUGGUGAGGAGGUCUAUGGUGGGCCCUGCAAAGUUUUCUUACCUCAGUCAAGGUCUUCCCCAGCCCAGCUACAAACAGACCCACCCUUCAGACGCUAUUACAUCCCAACCUGCUGAACCUGAUGAUGUGACACCGAGCUGUUCUGAGAGCGCAUACAGUAAGGCAAAGAAGAGAGAGCUUCAUGCCUGGGAUGCAGUCAAGGAUGAGAUGCUUAAGGUGAUGUUUGAAUGUUCAGCACCGAUCACUACCCAGUGUGCUGUCUGCUGAGAACAUGCUGAUUAUAGGUGCAUUGAGUGCAGCUCCACUGCAGUGUUCUGUGAGGUUUGCCUGAAGAGGAUUCACAGAAAUUUACUGCAUCUUCCUGAAAAGUGGAAUAAUGUUUACUAUGAGCCAUCGUCCCUGGGGUUAUUCUUAUAUUUACCUGAAGGCCAUGGCACCCAUGCUGUGUACACAAAGGACAUGAAGGUCAUUGUCAGCACAGGACGGCUCUGCACCGUUACAGUCAACAUGUAUGCGUGUGAACCAGAAACCUGUACUCUGCUAAGAUAUGGACUGACCAGACAGCCUUCUCCAUCCCUCUGCUAGAGCUUUCUGUUUCUCUGUCACUGGAGUGUCAGGUUUCUGUUGAGGGUUUUUCGCAACACCCCAUAUCCCAUUUUAGGCAUCACCACUUCCGACAAAGAAGUUUGGUUGAUAUUUGCCCACAAUUAAAUGAUGGCACCAUAUGCCCAGCAUGUCCAAAGGCGGAUGGAGAUAUGAUUGUCACAUUUGAUGCUAACUUUGGCCUUGUGAGGAAUCAAAGCUCUGGGACAAGUGCGGUUGAUCCAUUACACGGAACCCGCGUGUUUGUUGAUGAAAAGGAUGUAGAGGAAUACCUGCUAUCACAUCUUGACAGCUCAAAGCCUCGAGGUUAAUCAUUGUUGCAGAAUUUCAUUCGAGUCCAUGAAAUAUUAAUUAAACUUGUGAAAAAA